rnacentral:rRNA from 1 species
GGCUCAGGACGAACGCUGGCGGCGUGCUUAACACAUGCAAGUCGAACGAGGUCCAUGAAGUAGCAAUACUUCGGAAGACCUAGUGGCGAACGGGUGCGUAACACGUGAGGAACUUGUCCCGGUCUCUGGGAUAACAGUUGGAAACGACUGCUAAUACCGGAUGACGUCGGAGCGUCGCAUGGCGCGCUGACGAAAGGGUUACUGGAUCGGGAGAGCCUCGCGGCCUAUCAGCUUGUUGGUGGGGUAAUGGCCUACCAAGGCAUCGACGGGUAGCUGGUCUGAGAGGAUGAUCAGCCACACUGGGACUGAGACACGGCCCAGACUCCUACGGGAGGCAGCAGUGGGGAAUCUUGCGCAAUGGGCGAAAGCCUGACGCAGCAACGCCGCGUGCGGGAAGAAGGCCUUCGGGUUGUAAACCGCUUUCAGCAGGAACGAAAAUGACGGUACCUGCAGAAGAAGGUGCGGCCAACUACGUGCCAGCAGCCGCGGUGACACGUAGGCACCAAGCGUUGUCCGGAUUUAUUGGGCGUAAAGAGCUCGUAGGCGGUUCGGUAAGUCAGGUGUGAAAACUUUGGGCUUAACCCAAAGCGUGCAUCUGAUACUGCUGUGACUAGAGUUCGGUAGGGGAGUGGGGAAUUCCUAGUGUAGCGGUGAAAUGCGCAGAUAUUAGGAGGAACACCGGUGGCGAAGGCGCCACUCUGGGCCGAAACUGACGCUGAGGAGCGAAAGCGUGGGUAGCAAACAGGAUUAGAUACCCUGGUAGUCCACGCCGUAAACGUUGGGCACUAGGUGUGGGUUUCAACCAACGAAAUCCGCGCCGUCGCUAACGCAUUAAGUGCCCCGCCUGGGGAGUACGGCCGCAGGGUAAAACUCAAA